CCUACGGGUGGCUGCAGUGGGGAAUAUUGGACAAUGGGCGAAAGCCUGAUCCAGCCAUGCCGCGUGUGUGAAGAAGGCCUUCGGGUUGUAAAGCACUUUCAGUGGGGAAGAAAGCCUUGGGGCUAAUACCCUCGAGGAAGGACAUCACCCACAGAAGAAGCACCGGCUAACUCCGUGCCAGCAGCCGCGGUAAUACGGAGGGUGCGAGCGUUAAUCGGAAUUACUGGGCGUAAAGCGCGCGUAGGCGGUCUGAUAAGCCGGUUGUGAAAGCCCCGGGCUCAACCUGGGAACGGCAUCCGGAACUGUCAGGCUAGAGUGCAGGAGAGGAAGGUAGAAUUCCCGGUGUAGCGGUGAAAUGCGUAGAGAUCGGGAGGAAUACCAGUGGCGAAGGCGGCCUUCUGGACUGACACUGACGCUGAGGUGCGAAAGCGUGGGUAGCAAACAGGAUUAGGUACCCCAGUAGUC
rnacentral:rRNA from 1 species